GAUGAAGAACGCAGCGAAAUGCGAUAAGUAAUGUGAAUUGCAGAAUUCAGUGAAUCAUCGAAUCCUUGAACGCACAUUGCGCCCUCUGGUAUUCCGGGGGGCAUGCCUGUUCGAGCGUCAUUAUAACCACUCAAGCUCUCGCUUGGUAUUGGGGUUCGCGGUUUCGCGGCCCCUAAAAUCAGUGGCGGUGCCUGUCGGCUCUACGCGUAGUAAUACUUCUCGCGAUUGAGUUCGAUAGGUCUACUUGCCAGUAACCCCCAAUUUUUACAGGUUGACCUCGGAUCAGGUAGGGAUACCCGCUGAACUUAAGCAUAUCAAUAAGCGGAGGA
rnacentral:misc_RNA from 1 species